GGGGGCGUAGCUCAAUGGUAGAGUCCUAGGUUUCCAACCUAGUUAUGUCAGUUCGAUCCUGAUCGCCCCUUCCA
rnacentral:tRNA from 1 species